UUUUUUCAAAUCAGACUUAGACCACUUCCAGAUGUAGUCCUAAAUCGGACCCAGGUCUGAUUUUUUUUCAAUGCGGCAGCAGUGUGAACAACCAAGCCGGAUUUGAUGUAACUUUUACGUCAAUCUACAUCGACAUUUGUCAUAAGUAUGCGCCGGCGGGAGUUAGCCCCAUAGACUAUAUACUAGCCUUCAAAAUGGAGAACAGUGAUGGAGCAAGUCAAUGGAGGGAGAGUGACGUGUUAGACCUAAUUAUUGUAUGGGGAGAUACUUCAAUUCAAUCAAAACUAGAAGGAUCAUAACGUAACCGCUCUGUUUUAAAUAAAAAAAAAUA